UGAGCAGUCACCCUGCUAUCCCCCCAGACACAGGGAGGAGGGAGCAGACAAAACCUUCCUCUGCCACUUGUUCCCUGAAGGGAUUUUGACCGAAGCAUACCGAAGCAGCAGCUGCUGCAGGGCUGACUGCUGAUUAGCCUGCACCUACGUGUGGACUAGGGGUCCUCUCUGAGGCCCAGAAGAGCAGUAAAACCCAGUCUCCUGCUUCUCCCUGGAAGAAGAUGGAUGGAACGAACAUUUAUAAAUGGAAAGAAUUGGCGUGCCUGGGUGGCUCAGUUGGUCAAACAUCUGACUUCAGCUCAGGUAUCCUACACUGUACAAUGUGCUCACAGCCACAAGGUAAAACAUCAAAAAAUUGUCACUACCUGGAAGGAGCUAAUGAUCAACAGAUGAACUAGUCUGGUUUCCUUUCAGCACCACAGAAGCUAACUUCCAUCUUCCACGGCCCUUCUGUGGCAGAUCCUGGCCUCACCCAGGGGAGCAUAUAUAUUCCCAUGGCAGUUGUCUGUUUACUUGGAAAGGCGAAGUUUGUUUUUCCAACAUCUAAGUCUUGCUUGAAUUGACCCCACAGGUCCCUUAAUCCCACUAAGCUAUUCUGAUCAUGUGCUUAUUUCAACUCUUGUCACUGCUAACGAGUGAUUCCCUCCCUUCGCACCAAUUUUUUGGUUCAUGUUCUUGUGUAACAGUGAGCGUAGAGAGCUUAAGAAAAGUUAUAAAAGGAAAUGUUCAUAAUAUUCAGAAUUGAGUCUUAGAUUGCAAAUUCCCAUUUUGAACAGUUAAAUAUUAGAAGUACUGUGUUGAAAAGGAUUCUCUGAUGGAAUGAAACACGGGUUAGGUUUCUGACAUGUACAGAACGCUAUGGGAGCUCAGAUGAAGGAGUUCUUAUCUCUGCAGAAGACGUAAGGGACGGUCUUCUAAAAAUACAACAUUUCAUAAAGUUCCAGUUCCCUAUUUGUGACCGGAGAACAUUCCAGGCAGGAGGAAAUGCAUUUGCAAAAAGUUCCAGCAAGUUCCAGCAGUAAUUCAAGGCAUGUGGGUUGGGUUUAGGGGCAGGCUGAAAAUAUUGUGGAAAAUAGGGCUGGAAAGUUAGAAGUUAAAACAGAGAUAAUCCAGACUUUUUGUAUGUGUCACUCUGGCAGCAAGCAGUGUCAAGAAUAAA